rnacentral:misc_RNA from 1 species
CAUUUCUCUUGUUUAAUUUCUCUCCAAUUCCCUUGCACAAUUAAGGAUCCAAACAAAGGGUUAAAGAGUUCUAUUAGGUUUAGUAUUUUCCUAGUUUGUGCUGUUUUUAUAUCCUUAAUUGCUUAGAUUGGUUUAGUUUUUUAAUUUUAGGAUUUCUAGUCCUAAUAGUAGUAGAUCAAUAUUAUACUAGGUAUUUUAUUAGAGAGACUUUAUUAUUGACAAUUUGACAAUUGAUAUUGAGAAUUAAUAGAAAUUUGAAAAUUUGUUUCUCAUCCUCUUUGAGUGUUCUUCUUGUUCAAUAUCAAAUUGGUUUCAGAGGCCAGUUAUAGUUAGGUCAACUUGCAUUUUGAUCCUGUUGGAGUGGCUGAAUAGGUUUAGAGGUUACUACUGUCAUGAUCUCCCAAUUCCCGGAAAUUCUUUUGUGGCCUGAAUGUGUUAUGGUUCUCUCAUAUGGAGGAGAACAUCAGAAACUCCUGUCUGUGGCUAGGUCAUAGGUUUUCCUGCUAAACUGAUACUAGGAUAAUAUGAAUUAAGAAAGGAAUAAAUACAUGUGGCUGACUCAGAUUUCAUUGACUUCUAUUCUUGGAUAAGAUAUGUUUAUGAUCUAGCUUGUAGCUGAACCCCUUUCUCCCAUUUCCACACGGUCAGAUAACUCAGAUUCCUAGAAUUGGAGAAAUAAAUUUUAUAACCUUUCUUCCUUCUAAAUUAUGAGAUAUAAUUAUGUGUGAUUACUAUGUGCAUAAGAUGGAUUGAUGGCUCAGGAAGUGUAAGCUAAGGACUGAAAUUAAGAGAGAACUAUGUGCCUAAUGAUUUCUCUAUAGCCUUUAAUUGUCCAGUUGUGCUGCUCUAUAUGUCAGCGAUUAAUAUUAAAUAGAAGGAUGUCUAGAUGGAUUUUAAUUUUGUACAGAUCAAUAUCUGCUUUGUCUGGACCCAUAACUUAUGCAAAUCAUAAAGUGUGGCCGUAUAACAUCUAAAAUGAUUGAAUUGAUAACUUACCAUCUUUGGGUGAAGUAUUAUAAUUUGGGCUUUCUGACAAAGGAAUUUGUUGAUGGUUUAUGGAAGAUAGAAGAUGAAACUUGGAAUUUUAUAUGGACAUCAUUUUCUGGUAAUCCAUUAAGACAGUCUGGAGGACAUCUCUGAGCUUUCGAGGCUCUCUGUGAACUGCAUUUUCUAUGGUUUGUUACUUUUGAUAUGAUCAGAUGAAUUCCUCUUGUGAUAAACUGUGGAUGAAGCCAUACAAGUUUCAAUAAAAAAUGGCUGGAUAAACAUGGUAGAUCUUUUGAUUCUGAUUGAAUGUGUAGGUUAGUGAGCACUGAGCAGUCAGACCUACUUCUUGGAGAAGUGAGCGUGGCUACUGGAAUAUUAAAGAACAUAGGUUUCUGUGGUAAAUGUAUUGGUUGGUUUCAUUUCAUUUAUAUUUUGCUUUAUUGUUCAGGUGAACUCCUUGUCUUCCUUGUGUUUUUAAUUAUUUUCUCUUACUAAAAAGGCAAGAAGAAAAUCAUACACGCAACUGUGUGGAGUUAUAUGGUUUUGCAAAAGCUGAAGCAUCUGCUAACCUUGAGCAUGCUAUCUUACUGAAAGAAUAUACCAUUUGUUUAUUCUAUCAAUGACUUACCUGAAUGAUAAUGUCUGGAUAUGCAGGAAAAUGCUGUACCUGAAAAGAAAGUCAUCGUAGCUGUAAAGCAAGGGAAUUUGCUAGGGACUGCCUUCCAUCCUGAACUGACAUCAGAUACUCGAUGGCAUAGUUACUUCUUGAAAAUGGGAAGUGAGGCUCAAGAAGAAUCUCCAAGCAGCAUUGUCCCAGUUGGAGGAGUAGAUCCAAGCUUCAACGAAAAAGCAAGGAUUGAUCUUCCUAUCUAUCAAUAGUAGCAAUGAGAUACAAAUAUGAGCAUCUUUAUCAUCUUUUUAAUUGGUAUUUUCCUUUUGAAGACGCAGAAAGAAAUUGAUUUUCCUUUUGCCUAAAGUUAAUUGUUACUUUGAUAUCAGGUAUGUGUUGGAGGUCAGUCUAUUCUCUUAGGUUGAAAGUUGAGAUUACAAAUCAGAUGAUAGAUACACAUUCAUGCAUCCCACCUGUAAAUAUAAUGUUCAAAUGAAGUAAGCUUUUCUAUUUAUAGAAAUAUGUGGUAUAUGGUUUCAAAUUCAAUAUUUGGGAUUGGAAUAAACACAGGUGCAUGCAUGCUUAUGUAAUGUUACAUUUGUAAAAUUUGAGCAGACACACCUGAAAAUUUCAUUAUGGAUUCAGGAAUGAGUGUUUAGAUCUAAUGACUGAUGCUGUAUCAAGGUAUAAGAUUAUCAUUCAAGUGCGACUCAUGUUAUUUCUUUAUCUUCUGAUGGAAUUUGGAUUAUUAUGAACCCUUUUUUUGUGUCGAUUGCUGUGCUUGGAAAAUGAUUUUGUUGUGCGGGGAUCGAACCGUGUGUAUAACAGGAAACUGUAAGC